rnacentral:lncRNA from 1 species
AACUUCCUAUGCUCAAGUUUUCAGAAGACAUUGAAGAACAUCACAUCAUUAGAGAGAAGAAAAGGAAAAAUUGGCUACAAAAAUUAACCAUACAAUGUAUUGAAUUAAUAGAGUUUUGCUGAACAAUUUUUGUUAAUGGAGUUUAUAUUUUUACAAACAUAUGACAUGGACAAAUAUGUGCAAACAGAAAAUCACUGCAGUAUAUUAGAGUGGAAAUGCAAUGGCAGAAUUAUUUUUCAGUAAGUUAUUGGGUAAAAUAUUUGAGUCAUGCUGAGUACAAAAUAUUUUGUUAAGGCUAAUUAGGUUGCAGAUUAUAAAAUGCCCUAA